AUUGAACGCUGGCGGCAGGCCUAACACAUGCAAGUCGAACGAGUCGCGGACGGGUGAGUCAUGUCUGGAACACUGCCAGAUGGAGGGGGAUCACUACUGGACUCGAUAUCUAAUACCUCAUCCCAUCAGAUGUGCCCAGCUGGGAUUAGCUAGUAGGUGGUGUAAAGGCUCACCUAGGCGACGAUCCCUAGCUGGUCUGAGAGGAUGACCAGCCACACUGGAACGGAGACACGGUCCAGACUCCUACGGGAGGCAGCAGUGGGGAAUAUUGCACAAUGGGCGCAAGCCUGAUGCAGCCAUGCCGCGUGUAUGAAGAAGGCCUUCGGGUUGUAAAGUACUUUCAGCGGGGAGGCGUUACCCGCAGAAGAAGCACAGGCUAACUCCGUGCCAGCAGCCGCGGUAAUAC
rnacentral:rRNA from 1 species